rnacentral:rRNA from 1 species
GGCUCAGAACGAACGCUGGCGGCAGGCUUAACACAUGCAAGUCGAACGCCCCGCAAGGGGAGUGGCAGACGGGUGAGUAACGCGUGGGAAUCUACCUAGUUCUACGGAACAACACAGGGAAACUUGUGCUAAUACCGUAUACGCCCUACGGGGGAAAGAUUUAUCGGAAUUAGAUGAGCCCGCGUAAGAUUAGCUAGUUGGUGGGGUAAUGGCCUACCAAGGCGACGAUCUUUAGCUGGUCUGAGAGGAUGAUCAGCCACACUGGGACUGAGACACGGCCCAGACUCCUACGGGAGGCAGCAGUGGGGAAUAUUGGACAAUGGGCGCAAGCCUGAUCCAGCCAUGCCGCGUGAGUGAUGAAGGCCUUAGGGUUGUAAAGCUCUUUCAGUAGG